rnacentral:rRNA from 1 species
AGCAAUGCAGGAGCGGCAGACGGGUGCGGAACACGUGGGAACAUACCCUUUGGUUUGGAAUAACUCAGGGAAACUUGAGCUAAUACCGGAUAAGCCCGCAAGGGGAAAGAUUUAUCGCCGAAGGAUUGGCCCGCGUCCGAUUAGCUAGUUGGUGAGGUAAUGGCUCACCAAGGCGACGAUCGGUAGCUGGUCUGAGAGGAUGAUCAGCCACAUUGGGACUGAGACACGGCCCAAACUCCUACGGGAGGCAGCAGUGGGGAAUAUUGGACAAUGGGCGCAAGCCUGAUCCAGCCAUGCCGCGUGAGUGAUGACGGCCUUAGGG